CAAGUCGAACGCGAAAGGUUCCUUCGGGAACCGAGUAGAGUGGCGUCCGGGUGAGUAACACGUAGGUAAUCUACCUCUGGGUGGGGAAUAACGACCGGAAACGGUCGCUAAUACCGCAUAAUGCAGCGGCACCACAUGGUGACAGUUGUUAAAGCGGGGGAUCGCAAGACCUCGCGCCUAGAGAGGAGCCUGCGGCGGAUUAGCUAGUUGGUAGGGUAAUGGCCUACCAAGGCAACGAUCCGUAGCCGGCCUGAGAGGGCGGUCGGCCACACUGGCACUGACAUACGGGCCAGACUCCUACGGGAGGCAGCAGUCGGGAAUUUUGGGCAAUGGGCGAAAGCCUGACCCAGCAACGCCGCGUGAAGGAUGAAGCUUUUCGGAGUGUAAACUUCAUAAGAAUGGGACGAAUAAAGAUGAGCUAAUAUCUCAUCCUAUGACGGUACCAUUUGUAAGCUCCGGCUAACUCCGUGCCAGCAGCCGCGGUAAUACGGGGGGAGCAAGCGUUGUUCGGAUUUACUGGGCGUAAAGGGCGCGUAGGCGGCGCAACAAGUCACUUGUGAAAUCUCCGGGCUUAACCCGGAGCGGCCAAGUGAUACUGUCGUGCUAGAGUGCGGAAGGGGCUACUGGAAUUCUCGGUGUAGCGGUGAAAUGCGUAGAUAUCGAGAGGAACACCUGCGGCGAAGGCGGGGUAGCUGGGCCGACACUGACGCUGAGGCGCGAAAGCCAGGGGAGCGAACGGGAUUAGAUACCCCGGUAGUCCUGGCCUUAAACGAUGGAUGCUUGGUGUCCGGGGUUACAUAGUCCCCGGGGUGCCGGCGCUAACGCAUUUAAGCAUCCCGCCUGGGGAAUUACGGUC
rnacentral:rRNA from 1 species